rnacentral:rRNA from 1 species
UACGUAGGGGGCAAGCGUUGUCCGGAAUUAUUGGGCGUAAAGCGCGCGCAGGCGGUCAUGUAAGUCUGGUGUUUAAACCCAAGGCUCAACCUUGGGUCGCAUUGGAAACUGCAUGGCUUGAGUACAGAAGAGGAGAGUGGAAUUCCACGUGUAGCGGUGAAAUGCGUAGAUAUGUGGAGGAACACCAAUGGCGAAGGCAGCUCGCUGGGACGUGACUGACGCUGAGACGCGAAAGCGUGGGGAGCAAACAGG